UACGUAGGGUGCGAGCGUUGUCCGGAAUUACUGGGCGUAAAGAGCUCGUAGGCGGUUUGUCGCGUCGUCUGUGAAAUUCUGCAACUCAAUUGUAGGCGUGCAGGCGAUACGGGCAGACUUGAGUACUACAGGGGAGACUGGAAUUCCUGGUGUAGCGGUGAAAUGCGCAGAUAUCAGGAGGAACACCGGUGGCGAAGGCGGGUCUCUGGGUAGUAACUGACGCUGAGGAGCGAAAGCGUGGGUAGCGAACAGGAUUAGAUACCCUGGUAGUCCACGCCGUAAACGGUGGGUACUAGGUGUGGGUUCCUUUUCACGGGAUCCGUGCCGUAGCUAACGCAUUAAGUACCCCGCCUGGGGAGUACGGCCGCAAGGCUAAA
rnacentral:rRNA from 1 species